AUUAUCUCAGCUGAAAUGUGCUGCUCAAACUCUAAAAGCUUAACCAGCAAAAUGCUUCUAGUUCCUGGUCCUCAUGCUUAUAUAUCAUUUUGCCUUCUAUCAUCACUCUCUGGGAUUAAAGCCUCUCUUUCUGGAAUUAAAGGCA